rnacentral:rRNA from 1 species
AUUGAACGCUGACGGCAGGCCUAACGCAUGCAAGUCGAGCGGGGUUUUCGGACCUAGCGGCGGACGAGUGAGUAAUGCGUAGGAAGCUACCCGAUAGAGGGGGAUACCAGUUGGAAACGACUGUUAAUACCGCAUAAUGUCUACGGACCAAAGUGUGGGACCUUCGGGCCACAUGCUAUCGGAUGCGCCUACGUGGGAUUAGCUAGUUGGUGAGGUAAUGGCUCACCAAGGCGACGAUCCCUAGCUGGUUUGAGAGGAUGAUCAGCCACACUGGAACUGAGACACGGUCCAGACUCCUACGGGAGGCAGCAGUGGGGAAUAUUGGACAAUGGGCGCAAGCCUGAUCCAGCCAUGCCGCGUGUGUGAAGAAGGCCUUCGGGUUGUAAAGUACUUUCAGUAGGGAGGAAGCGUUGUGUGUUAAUAGUACACAGCGUUGACGUUACCUACAGAAGAAGCACCGGCUAACUCUGUGCCAGCCGCCGCAGUAAAAC